rnacentral:lncRNA from 1 species
AUGGCCUGUCUCCCCAUGUCACAAAGGCCACUACUAAAAGAAGAGUUUGAUCAUGCCACUUGGCACCUGCUUGUGACCAGUUCUGAGGUUUGGAGUGCACGGAGUAGAGUAGGAGCACAGCAGUCGAGAGAUCUUCUGAAUUACCCAGCUACCUCAAUUAGUGCCUCCCUCUUCCAGGCCUCACAUUGGAGAACACUUUACAGAAGCAGAGCAAGUGACACUGUAAAAAUGCUUUGCCUAUCUCCACAGCUGUAAUUGUCAUUCCAUCAGGGUUCUAAGAAAGCAGAACCAUCUGGGGAAAUCAGCAUUGCUUCGCUCAGUCUCUGCCGGAAUUAAAAUGAUCUGAUGUGAAGAUGAAGGAGAAAAAAACUCCAAAAUACCUUGCUGUGGGAAUUUACCAGGAAUUUACCAGGGCUGUUGACCAGUAUCUACAGUCCAGUGUGAAAGAAAAAUUUUAUUUAAAUCCUGGAAUGUAAACUAGAGUUAUAAAAAAGGAAGGAGAGAGUUUGAUUCUAUUUUAAUAGAACAGAAAUUGCUGUCCUGAAAGUGUUGUGCAUGUGUACUCUAACAAAAGCCAAUGAAUUGUUUCUAGUUAUAAAGAUGCCAGGAUGAGGCUAGCAUGCAUUAUUAUCAGUGAAAAAAAUAUUAAUUCUCAUUCCUAAAAUAUGACUUCAUAUUCCCAGGAUUGACGAGAUGAAGGAUAUGCAGUAAAUUAGUCCAACAUCCUCUUACCUCUAGGUCUGAACCCUGCUUAGAUCAUUGUUUGAAAUAAAUUGCUGUCUUUAUCUGAAGCA